rnacentral:rRNA from 1 species
UACGGAGGGUGCAAGCGUUAUCCGGAUUCACUGGGUUUAAAGGGUGCGUAGGUGGGCAGGUAAGUCAGUGGUGAAAUCCCCGAGCUUAACUUGAGAACUGCCGUUGAUACUAUCUGUCUUGAAUAUCGUGGAGGUAAGCGGAAUAUGUCAUGUAGCGGUGAAAUGCUUAGAUAUGACAUAGAACACCAAUUGCGAAGGCAGCUCGUUACACGAAGAUUGACUCUGAGGCACGAAAGCGUGGGGAUCAAACAGG